CUUGCAAGCUGGAACAGCUUGUUUACACGGCUCCAGGAGCUCCCUGUGUUUUCGGUGGGCUUUGUCUUAGCCCCACAGGUGUGACUGAUUUCCAGCUUCAGCGGCUCCCAACAGGAAAUGUCUUCCCCCAUGGUUCUGGAACAAGAGAAAAUGGGUUUUGUGAAAGGAUGAAAGAUCUAACAGCAUGUUUAGAAGUCACUAUCAACCUGCUAGAUAUGCUGAUGAAUUUUUGGAAGACACAGAACAGAUGGAAUUGGAUUGACAGAGGGGUGCCUGUGACCCAUAAAUUGAAAGCGGAUACCAUUUAA
rnacentral:lncRNA from 1 species